rnacentral:rRNA from 11 species
AUGGGUGCUAAGGUCCAUGUCCGAGAGGGAAACAACCCAGACCAUCAGCUAAGGUCCCUAAAUAUAUACUAAGUUGAACUAACGAGGUUCGAUUGCUUUGACAGCUAGGAUGUUGGCUUGGAAGCAGCCAUUCAUUUAAAGAGUGCGUAACAGCUCACUAGUCGAGCGAUUGAGCAUGGAUAAUAAUCGGGCAUAAAGUAUAUUACCGAAGCUAUGGAAUUGUUAGCAAUAACAAAUUGGUAGGGGAGCAUUCUAGUCAGCGUUGAAGGUGUAUCGUAAGGUAUGCUGGAGCGUCUAGAAAAGAAAAUGUAGGAAUAAGUAACGAUAAGGCAGGCGAGAAACCUGCCCACCGAUAGACUAAGGUUUCCUGAUCAACGCUAAUCGGAUCAGGGUUAGUCGGGACCUAAGGCGAACCCGAAAGGGGUAGUCGAUGGAUAACAGGUUAAUAUUCCUGUACUAGCAUAUAUUGCGAUGGGGUGACGGAGUAGUGAAAGGUCUGCGUACUGACGGAAUAGUACGUUGAAGAGUGUAGGUAUUAGACUUAUAGGAAAAUCCGUAAGACUAGCUGAACUUGAUAGUACCAAGAGCCUUCGGGCAAUUGGAUAAUGACCCUAAUCAGACUUCCAAGAAAAACCUCUAAGCUUCAGAUAUAUGCUACUCGUACCGCAAACCGACACAGGUAGUCAAGGAGAGAA